rnacentral:rRNA from 1 species
AAAUUGAAGAGUUUGAUCAUGGCUCAGAUUGAACGCUGGCGGCAGGCCUAACACAUGCAAGUCGAGCGGUAGCACAGAGAGCUUGCUCUCGGGUGACGAGCGGCGGACGGGUGAGUAAUGUCUGGGAAACUGCCUGAUGGAGGGGGAUAACUACUGGAAACGGUAGCUAAUACCGCAUAACGUCGCAAGACCAAAGUGGGGGACCUUCGGGCCUCAUGCCAUCAGAUGUGCCCAGAUGGGAUUAGCUAGUAGGUGGGGUAACGGCUCACCUAGGCGACGAUCCCUAGCUGGUCUGAGAGGAUGACCAGCCACACUGGAACUGAGACACGGUCCAGACUCCUACGGGAGGCAGCAGUGGGGAAUAUUGCACAAUGGGCGCAAGCCUGAUGCAGCCAUGCCGCGUGUGUGAAGAAGGCCUUCGGGUUGUAAAGCACUUUCAGCGGGGAGGAAGGCGUUAAGGUUAAUAACCUUGGCGAUUGACGUUACCCGCAGAAGAAGCACCGGCUAACUCCGUGCCAGCAGCCGCGGUAAUACGGAGGGUGCAAGCGUUAAUCGGAAUUACUGGGCGUAAAGCGCACGCAGGCGGUCUGUCAAGUCGGAUGUGAAAUCCCCGGGCUCAACCUGGGAACUGCAUUCGAAACUGGCAGGCUAGAGUCUUGUAGAGGGGGGUAGAAUUCCAGGUGUAGCGGUGAAAUGCGUAGAGAUCUGGAGGAAUACCGGUGGCGAAGGCGGCCCCUGGACAAAGACUGACGCUCAGGUGCGAAAGCGUGGGGAGCAAACAGGAUUAGAUACCCUGGUAGUCCACGCCGUAAACGAUGUCGAUUUGGAGGUUGUGCCCUUGAGGCGUGGCUUCCGGAGCUAACGCGUUAAAUCGACCGCCUGGGGAGUACGGCCGCAAGGUUAAAACUCAAAUGAAUUGACGGGGGCCCGCACAAGCGGUGGAGCAUGUGGUUUAAUUCGAUGCAACGCGAAGAACCUUACCUGGUCUUGACAUCCACAGAACUUUCCAGAGAUGGAUUGGUGCCUUCGGGAACUGUGAGACAGGUGCUGCAUGGCUGUCGUCAGCUCGUGUUGUGAAAUGUUGGGUUAAGUCCCGCAACGAGCGCAACCCUUAUCCUUUGUUGCCAGCGGUUCGGCCGGGAACUCAAAGGAGACUGCCAGUGAUAAACUGGAGGAAGGUGGGGAUGACGUCAAGUCAUCAUGGCCCUUACGACCAGGGCUACACACGUGCUACAAUGGCAUAUACAAAGAGAAGCGACCUCGCGAGAGCAAGCGGACCUCAUAAAGUAUGUCGUAGUCCGGAUUGGAGUCUGCAACUCGACUCCAUGAAGUCGGAAUCGCUAGUAAUCGUAGAUCAGAAUGCUACGGUGAAUACGUUCCCGGGCCUUGUACACACCGCCCGUCACACCAUGGGAGUGGGUUGCAAAAGAAGUAGGUAGCUUAACCUUCGGGAGGGCGCUUACCACUUUGUGAUUCAUGACUGGGGUGAAGUCGUAACAAGGUAACCGUAGGGGAACCUGCGGUUGGAUCACCUCCUUACCUUAAAGAA